rnacentral:rRNA from 1 species
GACGAACGCUGGCGGCGUGCUUAACACAUGCAAGUCGAACGGAAAGGCGAUGCUCUUGUGGGGUGCACGUGAGGCGAGCGGGUGAGUAACACGCGAGUAUCCUGCCCUUGACUUUGGGAUAACUUCAGGAAACAGGGGCUAAUACCGGAUAGGAGCUCCUGCUGCACGGGGGGGGUUGGAAAGAUUCGGCCGUGGGGGAUGGACUCGCGGCUUAUCAGCUUGUUGGUGGGGUAGUGGCUGACCAAGGCUUUGACGGGUAGCCGGCCUGGGAGGGGGACCGGCCACAUUGGGCCUGCGGUAGGGCCCAGUCUCCUACGGUCGGCAGCAGUGGGGAAUAUUGCACAAUGGGCCGAAGCCUGAUGCAGAGGCGCCGCGUGCGGGAUGACGGCCUUCGGGUUGUAAACCGCUUUCGCCUGUGCCGAAGCGUGAGUGACGGUACUGGGUAAAGAAGCACCGGCUAACUACGUG